ACUGGAACAUUUUCGUUUAAUCUUACUAUUUUACUUCGGAGUAACGUGAGUGACUACGCGAAAAUUUUAAUGCUCUGUGAUUUCAUGCCGUGAAACGAAUCCAUGCCUCACACACUGCCGUAAUACUGAUGGAGGAA